rnacentral:sRNA from 1 species
AAACUAACCUCCCGUGGUGAGCUGCUGAAGCUGACAAAGAAACUGUAAUACUGUUGUUUUCCCAUUUUUUUUUUUUUGCAUCACCUCCGUCCUGUGCCCAGGUAAAUUAUACGUUGUAGUUUGACGUAAUGUGUGACUUCUAUUUGUGUAUCCAUGUUUUGUUAAGAUGCAGUGUGCGCAAAGAGUAAUCUGAAGAACAGAAGUCUGUCGAUCAUCAUCAUGAUGUCAGAUUAAUGUCAUUGAAGAAAAGAGUUUAUGAUCCUCAUAUUAUUUAUGCUGGUAUGGGACACUUCCAUGUUGUGACGUAUUGUUUAUCGAAAAAAAAAACAAUAAAAUAAAGUGUAAUUAUAUAAGUAGUCAUAUCCAAAUAUGGUCUCUUAACUCCGUAGCGCAGUGGGUUAAAGGGUUUACUACGAACCUGUAAGUCAUGAGUUCGAAUCCCGCUGGGGGUUUUACAAUUUUUACCUUUUCAAAUAUUUUUAAAAGCUAUUUUUUGGUUAAAUAUUGUAAAAUUUGAAAAUUCUAAGGCCAAAUAAAAAAAUACCUAUGGUUCCGGUCACCCGACCGUCCCUAUUUUUUACCCCCGACCCUAAACUUUUUUUUCCCCAAUUUUCAAAUUUUUCCGGAAUUUUCCCCACUUUCCGUCAUCGGCUCCAAUGACAGCCUCCAAUUAAUAUGGGGACAUUUUAAUUCCUAUCAGUUGAUUAAUAAAAAGAAGAUAAAUCAAGAACUGUUUGUACCUUGUGUACCUCACAAUAAAUAAAUUAGGACCAACCUAGGGGGUGACAUGCUCGCUUUUUGAUCGGUAACUUCGCCGGAAUUUCCUUCGAAAGAGAUGUUGAAGUCACCCUGUAUUCUGAGUUAAUAAAACCCAUAGGCAAAAAAAUGAAAAUUAUCAAUUUCAAAAGGCGUUUUCACAGCCUCAGUUAACCCCUGUUGUGAUAAACAACUUGCGACUGUCUUAUCUAUAGGGGCCAAUAUAAGUAUGGGUGGUGCAACCACAUGCUGUGCGUUGAAAAUUACAACCGAUGUUUAUUUCUUUUAGUGUUUUUAUUAUGAUUAGUUUGUAGCUUGUAAUUAGUUUAUAACACUGCCAAAUUAAUGCUGAAAUAAUCAUAAAACAAUAUGUUAACUAAAGAGUUAUUUUCAAGGUCCUCUGCAUAACGGUUGUAAUUAGGUCAAAGGGUUGGACUAAUACCUCCAAAAUACACCAAAAUACAAAGACUGAUUUUAUUUGUCAUUAAGCUAACACAAUUGCAAAACGUUUCAUAUAUAAAAUGUAUGAAUACACCAGAAAAAUUAAAUUCAACAAAUUGGAUAUUAAAUUAUUAAAGACUUAAACUUUGUAUAUCAUUUAUUAGCAUUAUGCUAUUGUCAAGAAAUGGAAUUCACUCUAAUUUCUCAAGCUUCUCCCUAUUUUUCUGAAAGAUAGAAGUGAAUCUCCCUAAAAUUUUGCUCUAUUAAGUUGGGCCCUAAAUUGAAUUUAUAUGGAAUCUGCAAGGUAAAAUUUUUUAAAUUUAAAAUGAGAAAUAUUGAGAUUGACCUUUGUUUAAUUGAAACGAAUAGAAACAAUAACAAAUCAUAGCAUUCUGGAUCAAAUUCGAACCAAAUCGAAUGAACUCUGAAUCGUCCCAGCCCUAUAAUUAUAUAAUACCGAACAUUUAAUACUUUUUUGUUCAUGUUGUUUUUAAACAGAAAUUAUUUUUUUUAUUAGUUUUUUAUUUAAAAAUAUUUGUGUCAUAGUAAUAAAAGCUAGAUGCUCUCUACCAAUCUUAAUUUAGUAUAUUUAUCUCACUAAAUACAAAUGCCAUCUGCAAUGCAGUGCUAGGUACAGUACCGAUCAGACCCAACUUAACAGAAAGUAAACCCCAACUAAACCCUGGGUUUACUUUUUACUCUGGGUUUACUAGAGUGGACCCAGAGUAAACCCAAGAAGACCUAGAGUGGACACAGAGAUUAAACCCCAAUCAGAAGUAUACCCUGAAAGCAGACGCUACAUAUGUAUUCGGAAUAUACAAGGGGCAGGAAUCAUAGGCAGUAGGUGAUAAGAUAAAAUACAGGUCUGCUUCACACUUCAGUGCGUAUUGUUGACUCCAAAAGCAAUUCUCGAGUAAACCUAAUGUAAACGGUAAAACCUCGAGUAAACCCAAAAUUAACCCCGAGUGGACCCAAAUUUUCAAAAAGUAAACCCAAAGACCAAAGUAAACCCAAAAAGUAAACCUGGGGUUUACUCUGGUGUUAGGUUGGGUCUGAUCGGUACUGUACAUGCAGUACUAAGACAAUCGUUUAUACAUUUCU